rnacentral:rRNA from 1 species
UAGUCAUAUGCUUGUCUCAAAGAUUAAGCCAUGCAUGUCUAAGUAUAAGCAAUUUAUAAAGUGAAACUGCGAAUGGCUCAUUAAAUCAGUUAUCGUUUAUUUGAUGAUCUCUUACUACAUGGAUAACCGUGGUAAUUCUAGAGCUAAUACAUGCGUAAAGUCCCGACCUCUGGAAGGGAUGUAUUUAUUAGAUAAAAAACCAAUGCCUUCGGGCUUCUUGGUGAUUCAUAGUAACUUAACGAAUCGCAUAGCCUUGUGCUGGCGAUAGUUCAUUCAAAUUUCUGCCCUAUCAACUUUCGAUGGUAGGAUAUAGGCCUACCAUGGUUUCAACGGGUAACGGGGAAUUAGGGUUCUAUUCCGGAGAGGGAGCCUGAGAAACGGCUACCACAUCCAAGGAAGGCAGCAGGCGCGCAAAUUACCCAAUCCCGACUCGGGGAGGUAGUGACAAUAAAUACUGAUACAGGGGGCUUUCAGUCUCUUGUAAUUGGAAUGAGUACAAUUUAAAUCUCUUAACGAGGAACAAUU